GAUGAACGCUGGCGGCGUGCCUAAAACAUGCAAGUCGUGCGGCAGCGGGCCUUCGGGUGCCGGCGAGCGGCGGACGGGUGAGUAACGCGUAGGAACGUAUCCCAAAGCGAGGGAUAAGCUCCGGAAACGGAGUCUAAUACCGCAUAUGCUCUUAGGAGUAAAGGAGUAAUCCGCUUUGGGAGCGGCCUGCGUCCGAUUAGUUUGUUGGUGAGGUAAUGGCUUACCAAGACGAUGAUCGGUAGCUGGUUUGAGAGGAUGAUCAGCCACACUGGGACUGAGACACGGCCCAGACUCCUACGGGAGGCAGCAGUUAGGAAUUUUCCACAAUGGGGGCAACCCUGAUGGAGCAACGCCGCGUGCAGGAAGACGGCCUUCGGGUUGUAAACUGCUUUUAAAAGUGAAGAUUAUGACGGUAACUUUAGAAUAAGGAUCGGCUAACUCCGUGCCAGCAGCCGCCGUAA
rnacentral:rRNA from 1 species